rnacentral:rRNA from 1 species
UACGUAGGGGGCAAGCGUUGUCCGGAUUCACUGGGCGUAAAGGGCGCGUAGGCGGCCUGUUAAGUGUAUAGCGAAAGCCCGGGGCUCAACCCCGGAGGUGCUGUGCAUACUGGCAGGCUUGAGGGAUGCAGAGGCUUGUGGAAUUCCUGGUGUAGCGGUGAAAUGCAUUGAUAUCAGGAGGAACGCCCAUGGCGAAGGCAGCCAGCUGGGCAGCAUCUGACGCUGAGGCGCGAAUGCGUGGGGAGCAAACAGG